CGGGGGGCCUACGGGAGGCAGCAGUAGGGAACGCCUGCCGCUCGUUGUGGGCGGGGCGGGGGCACGGGGGGCCUACGGGAGGCAGCAGUGGGGAAUAUUGCACAAUGGGCGCAAGCCUGAUGCAAACCAUGCCGCGUGUAUGAAGAAGGCCUUUCGGGUUUUUUAAGUGGGGUUCAGGCCGGG
rnacentral:rRNA from 1 species